rnacentral:rRNA from 1 species
GGAAGGUCCGGGCGUUAUCCGGAUUUAUUGGGUUUAAAGGGAGCGUAGGCCGGAGAUCAAGCGUGUUGUGAAAUACUGUCGCUCAACGACAGAGGUGCAGCGCGAACUGGGAGACUUGAGUGCGCGGAAUGCAGGCGGAAUUCGUCGUGUAGCGGUGAAAUGCUUAGAUAUGACGAAGAACUCCGAUUGCGAAGGCAGCUUGCAGUAGCGUAACUGACGCUGAAGCUCGAAAGUGCGGGUAUCGAACAGGAUUAGAUACCCUGGUAGUCCGCACGGUAAACGAUGGAUGCUCGCUGUGUGCCCCUGGGUACGCGGCCAAGCGAAAGCGUUAAGCAUCCCACCUGGGGAGU